GUUUCUAUAGUUGAAUAACAACGGUGGUUUUUCAAGUCAUUAGUCUCGGUUAGAAUCCGGGUAGAAAUUAAA
rnacentral:tRNA from 2 species